GGUUCCAUAGUGUAGCAGUUAGCACAUCUGCUUUACACGCAGAAGGGCCUGGGUUAGCACUCCAGUGGAGCCA
rnacentral:tRNA from 1 species